AAGCAUCAGACAAUAGACUUAUGUAUAUGCUGGACCGAGUGAGGAAGAGUAGUGAAUCAGGCUGCUGCUGUAAUGCCGCCCUCCUGCACAGAGGGCGUGUUGCCUUGAAGCAGCCGCACUGAGCGUGAGGGGACCAGGUCUGGAUGAAGGCUGAUUAUUAUUCCUAGACUCAGACACUUGUGAUGAUGGCGGCCGAUGAGAAUGAAGAAAUGCGAAGCCUGGAGCUCAGUGGCCAGGUUGGAUUCAACAGCCUUCCCCAUCAAGUGGUCAGGAAAUUAGUUGCACAGGGAUUCUGCUUCAACAUCCUCUGUGUAGGUGAGACAGGGAUAGGCAAAUCAACCCUGAUCAACACGCUUUUCAACACGACUUUCGAAAAUGAGGAAGCUGAUCAUUAUGAGCAACAAGUGAAGUUGCGCUCACAGACGUACGAGCUGCAGGAGCACACAGUCAAACUGAAGCUGACUAUCGUGCACACUGCAGGGUUUGGAGACCAAAUCAACAAGGAAGAAAGCUGCAACCCCAUUCUCAACUACAUCGAAGCCCAGUUUGAGAAAUAUCUUGAAGAGGAGCUGAAAAUAAAACGUUCCCUCUUUAACUACGACGACACCAGAAUCCACGUCUGCCUGUAUUUCAUGGCUCCCACCGGGCACACCCUGAAAUCUCUUGAUCUCGUCACAAUGAAGAAGCUGGACAGCAAGGUGAACAUCAUUCCCGUUAUUGCAAAGGCAGACAUCAUGUCCAAGAGUGACUUGGGGAACUUGAAGAAGAAGAUCAUGAAUGAGCUGCAGAGCUAUGGCGUGCAGUUAUAUCAGUUUCCGACUGAGGAUGAGGAAGUUGGAGAGAUAAACGCGUCCUUAAAUGCUCGCCUUCCCUUUGCUGUGGUUGGAAGCACAGAGGAUGUCAAAAUAGGGAACAGGAUGGUGAAAGCAAGGUCUUACCCCUGGGGAUCCGUACAGGUGGAAAAUGAAGAGCACUGUGACUUUGUUCAUCUGAGAGAGAUGCUUCUGCGUGUUAACAUGGAUGAUCUCCGGGAGCAAACACACUUUCGUCACUACGAGCUCUAUCGUCGCUGCAAGCUAGAAGAGAUGGGCUUCAAGGACACUGACCCUGACAGCCAGUCAUUCAGCCUGCAGGAGAUGUAUGAGGCCAAAAGAAAGGAGUUCCUCAAAGAGCUGCAGCACAGAGAGGAAUCAAUGAGACAGAUGUUUGUCAACAAAGUCAAGGAAACGGAGGCAGAGCUGAAAGAAAAAGAAAAAGAGCUUCAUGAGAGGUUUGAACAGCUGAAGCGCAUGCACCAGGAGGAAAAGAAAAAUCUGGAGGAGAAAAGACGAGAACUGGAAGAGGAGAUGAAUGCCUUCAACAGGCGGAGGGUGGCGGCUGAAACGCUGAUGGGACAGGCGCUGCAGGGAUGUUCACAUCAGCCGCUCAAGAAGGAAAAGGACAAAAAGAAUUGACUUAUCAAUGAGAACAUCCAAGGAAAGUGAGGUUCUCAUCGGUAUAGAAGAAACAGACCCUUUUUCUACUCUUCUUUAGUCUUCCAUCUGCGUGCUCCUUAACCUCAGGAAGGAACCUGAAUUAGAAGACUUUCUACCGCAUGAGAACAUCAGACUAACAAUCAAGUGUUUAAUGUUUAAUAAAGAUUUUAUAGAAAUAAAAUAUCCUUCACGGUGAGUCAACCUGAUGUCUUCCGCGUCAACUACACCUUUAUCUGCACACUUUAAAACAAUGUGCUGUGGCAUUGUCUCUGCAUGACUCCUAAACUUCAUUCCAGCAAGUACUAAGAAGUUUACUUUGCCAAAAUGUGUUUUUCUACUACAGUGCUUUGCAAAAGUGUUCAUGUCCCUUGAAUUUCUUCCAAAAAGUGGUCAUGUUACAGUCACAAAUUUCUGUGUCUUUUAUAAUGAUAUUAUGUGACAAACACAAAGGAGCACCAAAUUGUGCAGCAGAAGGAAAAUGAUACAUGGUUUUCAGAUUUUAUUUAUUUUACAAUGCAUUGUAGCAACCUCAGUCAGAUUGGAUGUUAAACAUCUGUGAACAUCAAUUUUCACGUUUCACAACAAAUUACUGAUUGGAUUUAAGGUUGGUCCUUGACUGGGCCUUUCUAACAAUUUAUAAGUUUUUUUUUUUUUUUCAGUAUUGCCCUGCAUUUAUCUCCUCCAUCUUUGUAUUAACUGUGACCAUCUUGUCUGUUUCUGCUGAAAAAUAGCUUCACCACAGCAUGAUGCUGCCAUCCCCAUGUUUCACAACAGUGAUUGCAUUUUUAGGGAGUUAUGCAGUUUUAGUUUUGUUUGCCACACAUCACAUUUUGGAUGUAACUUUUGGUUUCAUCUGAUUAGACUUUGUCACCUACUUUGCUUGUGACAAACUGCAAAUAUGCUUUCUUUUAGCAAUGACUUUCCUCUUGUUGCUCUUCCAUUAAGGCAAUAUUUUUGGAGUGCAUGACUAAUACUUGUCCUCUUAGCAGAUUCUCUGCACCUCUCCGGGAGUUAGCUUAGGCUUCUUAUCUAAUUUUCUUGCCCAUGCUCUCAGUCUUUGAAGGUUUGGAGCUAUACUGUUUCCAUUUUCUAAAGAUGCACUGAAAGGUGCUCUGCAAGAUGUUCAGAUCUUGUUAUAUUGUUUUAUAACAUAACCAGGCUUAAUCUUCUCCACCACUUUAUCCCUGACCUGUCUGCUGUGCUUGUUGGUCUUCAUAAAGCUGUUUUUUUAACUCGUGUUCUCUAAAAAUCAUUUGAGGCCUUCACAGAACAGCACUAUUUACAGAAAGAUGAUGUUACACCUGGGUGGACUCUGUUUACUAAUUAGAUGUCUUCUAAAGCCAAUUCGUUUCACUAAAUUUUAUUUAGAAGUUUUCAGAGUAAAGGGGUUUGAAUAGAAAAACUCAUAACAUUUUUCAAACUAAAAAUAAUGUAUCAUUUCCCUUAAAUUUUAGAAAUAUGCGCAACUUUGUGUUAGUCUAUCUGGCAAAAUCCCAGUGGAUAUAACAUGACAACAUGUGGAAAACGGAAUACUUUUGCAGGGCACUUCUAAUGUGCAAUCUUCCUGUUCUCGCCUUGUAAUGCUUGUAAACUGAAUGUUAAAAAACAUACACUGUGAAAUAUACAUUAUACGCUCAUGUGCUAAUGCUGUCAAAGGAUGUCUUGUUUGUAGUCAUGUUAUGAUUUAGAAGCACUUUAAAUGAAUCGUAGUUCAAAAACUAUAUAUAUUUAAACAAUGAAUAGUGUCUUGUCAUUCAAACAUCUAUAUUCUUACAUUAUUUCCUAAAGAUGUAUAUGUAAGUAUGUAAUAGUUUAAACAGCAAAAGCUAAAUAUUCUGUUAUUAUAUAAAAAGGCUGGAUAUGAAUAAAUUCAGGAUUAAAAUCUCUUUGUGUCAAUAAAUCUUGAUGUUAAGUUUGUGUUUGCUCACUUCCAGAUUAGAAAGUGUCAUAUAAUAAAGCUUUUUAUUCUUUUGAAA